UACAGAGGGUGCAAGCGUUAAUCGGAAUUACUGGGCGUAAAGCGUGCGUAGACGGUUAUGUAAGUCGGGUGUGAAAGCCCCGGGCUCAACCUGGGAAUUGCAUUCGAGACUGCAUAGCUAGGGUGCGGAAGAGGGAAGCGGAAUUUCCGGUGUAGCGGUGAAAUGCGUAGAUAUCUGGAGGAACACCGGUGGCGAAGGCGGCGUUCUGGACUGUAACUGACACUGAGGAACGAAAGCCAGGGGAGCAAACGGG
rnacentral:rRNA from 1 species